AAUAAAUUUUUUAUAUUUUUUAUAAUUUAUUAUAAAUUUAUUUUACAUGUAAAUUUUAGUAUAAAAUUUUAAUUAUUUUAAAAAUAAUUAAUUUAAUAUUAACAGUAAUUAAAAUUAAAAAUUUAAGAAAUUAAGAUUUAGUAAUAUUUAAAUUAAUAACUAAUUUUGUGCCAGCAGUUGCGGUUAAACAAAAGUUAAAUUAAAUUAUUUCAGUUUAUAAUAAAUAAAUAAAUAUUAAAUUAAAUAUUGAAUUAUUAAGUGAAAUUUUAAUUUAAUUAAAAUUUAUUUUUAAUUUAUGAUUUAAUAAAUUUUAUUUUAAACUAGGAUUAGAUACCCUAUUAUUAAAAAUUUAAUUAAAAAUACUAAAAUAGUAAAUAAAAUAUUAUUGAAACUUAAAUAAUAUGGCGGUAUUUUAGUUCAUUUAGAGGAAUCUGUCUAAUAAUUGAUAAUCCACGAAUAAAUUUACUUAAUUUAUAAUUUUGUAUAUCAUUGUUAAAAAAAUAUUUUUAAAUAAAAAUAAUAUUUUAAAAUUUAGAAUAAAAUUUAAUUCAGAUCAAGAUGCAGAUUAUAAUUAAGUUUAAGAUGGAUUACAAUAAAUUUAUUUAAAUGGAAAAAAUUUUGUAAGAUUUGAUUGAAGGUGGAUUUAAAUGUAAUUUUAAUUAAUUUAUUAAAAUGAUUUAAAAUUAAAAUAUGUACAUAUUGCCCGUCACUUUCAUUUAAAAAUUGAAAUAAGUCGUAACAAAGUAGAGGUACUGGAAAGUGUUUCUAGAAUGAA
rnacentral:ncRNA from 1 species